rnacentral:piRNA from 1 species
UUCUCACCCUGGGAACCCGUUUUGGGGCAGU